rnacentral:lncRNA from 1 species
GGUUAGGUCCGAAAAAAAUUGUUAAAAGUAUCACAAAAAAGAGGUUGCCACGAAAAUAAAUGUUUAAAAUUGCUUUGAUAAAUUUGAUCGGAAGUGAGACAUUUAUGUUUAACAAAACAUUUUAUUUUUUGCACAAUUUUCAUGUUGCCAUGGUGACAUAGAUGGAAGACAUACACACAGAACAUCGAGGUGUUUUACAGAUUUGGAGCAUAUAGGACGUGGUUACCACGGAAACAUACGUCUACAUCUGGGCAAUGAAAUAAUCGGACGACAGACGGUCAGAUGUCACAGUGAAACAACAGAGUUUGGAUAUAUAAGAUAUAUCUUUCCCCCAAAGUGUUGGCUGAUGUAAUUGAAUACAAGCCCAUGUGAAGAUAUCAUGUUGCAGAUAUCACAAUGGCUUAGUGGACGUCGCAAGCUUGACUAUACCAGCGCGUGCAAUGUUGCCAAGUUGUAAAUUCUACAAUGGCUUAGUGGACGGUGCAGCCUAGUCCUUUUUCUACAGGCGCAAUGAGGUUUCAACCAAGUAAUGCAUAUUCAUUUUCAUUUUUUUUUUUGAAAAAAAAAAACAAAACUUUCUACAAGUUUGUUAUUUUCUAGUUGUCAUCAAGGACUACAUUGUUUUAGUUUUUUCCCUAAGUUUAUGAUUUUAAACUCAAUUCUGUUACUUGUUAGAUAAUGUCUACCAGUAUUUAGUCAGCAGUUCAUAAAUUUAAACCUUUAAAUGCUUUG